CAUGCCAUGAUCAUGCCUUAUAAAUAAAUUCAAAGCACCCACGCCUUUUCAUUGCAUUAUAAGCUUUAAGCCUUCUUCCUUCUUAGCUUUUCUUUCUCCAUUGAUAUAUCUCUCUCCCACUUCUGCCACUUUUUUUCAUAGAUCAUGAAAUGGCGCCCAGAUCAUCUGUGUUCAUUGUGAUGGCCAUUUGCCUUGUUCUUCUGUGUCUCAUGUCCCGACAGAUCUCUGCUACUUCCAGAAGAUUGAUAAGCCAUGAGGAUGCUGCAGGUGGUGGAAAUUAUAAUGAGAAAAUCGCUACUCAGGAGCUGAAGAAGAAGAAGAAGAAGAAGAAGAUGAGAAUGGAGGAUUAUGGCGGCGAGGACGAUCGAUCUCCGCCGCAUGAUUAUUCUGAUUAUGAUUUCUAUCGAAAACACGGUGAUGUUCCCAGCCCCGGUGCUGGUCACUGAUAUGUGAUAUGAUGGAGGGCUUUACGGUGGAUUUGGUGGUGCUGUGAUGUUUUCUGGGAUUAAAUGAACUGCUGUGUGUUGAAAUUAUUCCCACACGUACUAAGCCAGAUUAAUUGUGUUGGAUGGUCCCGGAAAGAAGAUUUGGUGUGAUAUGGUUGUGGACUUGUGGUAUGUGGGUGGCCUCUCUCUUUUUCUUUUUUUUUUCCUCUCGUACUGUUGAUAUUUAUAUACAGACAUAUAUUUGUUGUGAUAUGUGGAGGGAUUGGAGAUGCAAAGGUUGUAUAUUUAAUUUUGUCGGAGAAAAUAAUGGAGAUUUUCGUUUUUGCAUCGUCACAUAUAGCAAACACAUCUCCCAUGUAUAUUUCUGUAUCGUAACUCUAUUAUAUCUGGGGGAAAUUGUUCAUUUUUCAGUCUCUUUAUAGAUGUUCUUUCAAUUUUAGUUUGGUUUUGUUA